rnacentral:rRNA from 1 species
CAUAGGUUAAUGAGGCGAACCGGGGGAACUGAAACAUCUAAGUACCCCGAGGAAAAGAAAUCAACCGAGAUUCCCCCAGUAGCGGCGAGCGAACGGGGAGGAGCCCAGAGCCUGAAUCAGUGUGUGUGUUAGUGGAAGCGUCUGGAAAGGCGCGCGAUACAGGGUGACAGCCCCGUACACAAAAAUGCACAUAUUGUGAGCUCGAUGAGUAGGGCGGGACACGUGGUAUCCUGUCUGAAUAUGGGGGGACCAUCCUCCAAGGCUAAAUACUCCUGACUGACCGAUAGUGAACCAGUACCGUGAGGGAAAGGCGAAAAGAACCCCGGCGAGGGGAGUGAAAAAGAACCUGAAACCGUGUACGUACAAGCAGUGGGAGCCUCUUAAUGGGGUGACUGCGUACCUUUUGUAUAAUGGGUCAGCGACUUAUAUUCUGUAGCAAGGUUAACCGAAUAGGGGAGCCGAAGGGAAACCGAGUCUUAACUGGGCGUUAAGU